rfam:Haemonchus contortus, ISE/inbred ISE, WGS project CAVP01000000 data, contig: Hcontortus_45019
GGCGCAAACUUGAAGUAGAGUGCAUUAGUAAGGCCAGAUGAUCGUAUUAAUCAACUCUACUUCAAAUUUGGGCCC